UAGCUUGCUACGAACUGAUGAGAGUGGCGCACGGGUGCGUAACGCGUGAGCAACCUACCCAUAUCAGGGGGAUAGCCUCUCGAAAGAGAGAUUAACACCGCAUAACAUCAUUUACCGGCAUCGGUUUUUGAUCAAAUAUUUAUAGGAUAUGGAUGGGCUCGCGUGACAUUAGCUAGUUGGAGAGGUAACGGCUCACCAAGGCUACGAUGUCUAGGGGCUCUGAGAGGAGAAUCCCCCACACUGGUACUGAGACACGGACCAGACUCCUACGGGAGGCAGCAGUAAGGAAUAUUGGUCAAUGGAGGCAACUCUGAACCAGCCAUGCCGCGUGCAGGAUGACUGCCCUAUGGGUUGUAAACUGCUUUUGUCAGGGAAUAAACCUUUCUACGUGUAGGAAGCUGAAUGUACCUGAAGAAUAAGGAUCGGCUAACUCCGUGCCAGCAGCCGCGGUAAUACGGAGGAUCCAAGCGUUAUCCGGAUUUAUUGGGUUUAAAGGGUGCGUAGGCGGUCCUAUAAGUCAGUGGUGAAAGACGGCAGCUUAACUGUCGCAGUGCCUUUGAUACUGUAGGACUUGAAUCUAUUUGAAGUGGGCGGAAUAAGACAAGUAGCGGUGAAAUGCAUAGAUAUGUCUUAGAACUCCGAUUGCGAAGGCAGCUCACUAAGUUAGUAUUGACGCUGAUGCACGAAAGCGUGGGGAUCAAACAGGAUUAGAUACCCUGGUAGUCCACGCCCUAAACGAUGAUAACUCGAUGUUUGCGAUACACAGUAAGCGUCCAAGCGAAAGCGUUAAGUUAUCCACCUGGGGAGUACGGUCGCAAGAUUGAAACUCAAAGGAAUUGACGGGGGCCCGCACAAGCGGAGGAGCAUGUGGUUUAAUUCGAUGAUACGCGAGGAACCUUACCCGGGCUUGAAAGUUAGUGAAUGAUCCAGAGACGGAUCAGUCCUUCGGGACACGAAACUAGGUGCUGCAUGGCUGUCGUCAGCUCGUGCCGUGAGGUGUUGGGUUAAGUCCCGCAACGAGCGCAACCCCUAUGUUUAGUUGCCAGCAUGUAAUGAUGGGGACUCUAAACAGACUGCCAGCGUAAGCUGUGAGGAAGGUGGGGACGACGUCAAGUCAUCAUGGCCCUUACGUCCGGGGCUACACACGUGCUACAAUGGACGGUACAGCGGGCAGCUACAUAGCAAUAUGAUGCUAAUCUCUAAAAGCCGUUCACAGUUCGGAUUGAGGUCUGCAACUCGACCUCAUGAAGUUGGAUUCGCUAGUAAUCGCGUAUCAGC
rnacentral:rRNA from 1 species